UACGAAGGGUGCAAACGUUGCUCGGAAUUAUUGGGCGUAAAGCGCACGUAGGCGGCUUUGCAAGUCGGAUGUGAAAUCCCUCGGCUUAACUAAGGAAGUGCAUCCGAAACUGCAGAGCUUGAGUACUUAAGAGGAUCGCGGAAUUCCCGGUGUAGAGGUGAAAAUUCGUAGAUAUCGGGAGGAACACCAGUGGCGAAGGCGGCGAUCUGGGAAGAUACUGACGCUGAGGUGCGAAAGCGUGGGGAGCAAACAGG
rnacentral:rRNA from 1 species